GCCCUAGUGGCCUAAUGGAUAAGGCCUUGGCUUCCUAAGCCAGAAAUUUUGGGUUCAAGUCCCAUCUGGGGUG
rnacentral:tRNA from 1 species